UGCAUUAUGUUACUUUUGCGUUACUUUUUUCACCUGAGCUGGGCCUGCUUAUUUAUUUUUAAUUAAAAAAAAAAAAACAAAAGUUAUCUUUUUCACAACUGUAAAGGCUCUUUCACACCAAAAAUGAAAUGAAUAAGCCUCACGCUGAAGGAAACACCUGUGUCUCUGCACUCUCUCCUGAUUCUCUCAUCAUGAGCACAGGACAGCAGUCAGUCAUACAUGGGAAACAGAGCAAACUGCAUUACUUAUUUGAAAAGUAACUCAGAUAUUUUCUUGUAAAUUUAAAAGUAAUGUGUUACUUUACUAGUUACUUGAAAAAAGUAAUCUGAAUACAUACCUCGGGUUAUGUAUUCCACACACACACACACACACACACACACACACACACACACACACACACACACACCUCGGGUUAUGUAUUCUACACACACACACACACACACACACACACUCACUCACACUCUCUCUCUCACAGACAUACUCACACACACUCCUGCCAGACUGUCGAUGUCUGAGACAAAUGAAUGACGCUGAUGUCACUGGCCUUAAGCCACCCAGAGGAUGAUGGGAAACAGGAAGACUGUGGCACACUCAGAGAUGACGGAAAGAUGAAUGUUUCUGCAUCUUCCACACUUCAAUUCAAAGAGACAAACGAGAGGAUAAUACACAGAAGAUCUCCUGAUUCAUCACACGACAGGAGCGCAGGGGAACAAGAGGACGGAUGAAUAAUAGCUGUGCCCGGAUGACAAACGGAUGAGAAGUGUUUGAGGAUGAAGGUGUGAUGGAGGAUCUGCUGAUGCAGCGCUGAUGUGCUGAGUUUGCUGCUUUCAGCCUCACGUCCUGCAGGAGAUUCAGAUUCAGAUUCAGAUCUGCUGACGGACAAAACCCUCCAGCUGCUGCAGGAUCCGCCUCUAACACACGUCAGGUUUCCAUAUGAACACACAGCAGCGGGACGUACACACCUGUCAGCCAAUCAGAACGCAGGAAAUCAUGUUCUGCUCUGAUUUUAGAAGAACAUCUGCUGAACGGAUUUAAAGAUGUGUUAAACUGAACCGUAUCUGAAAGCGUCUUCAAAAACUAGCUGAAAUAUUUGAUAAUUAUGCAAGAAGAACACGAUGGCAAAUUCUGUUCAGCUACAGAGCUAUUAAAAACAUAUUCAAAAUUUUAAAUAAAACUCAAAUAAAAUUUAUAAAAUAUAAAUAUUAUAAAAACUGAGAACUUCUAAUUUUAACUGGAUAUACAUAAAACCAAAAUGGAAAAUAAAAAUAAAGUAAACCUAAAUAGUAAUAAAACACACACACACAAACAUUUAACUUACAAAAGAACUUUAACCAAAAUUAAAAUAAAGCUGAAAUAAAAUGAAAUAUAAAUAUUAGAUGAAAAACUAUGAAUGAAAAUUAGAAAUCUUUUCUUGUCAACAACCUGAAAUAAGUUGAAGCUCUAAAUAAAAUUUCUAACUGGAAAUAAAUAAUACUGAAACUGAAAUAAAAAUAAAUAUAAAUAAUAAUAAUUAAAACAAAAUUACAAAAAUCUGAAAUAUAAUAAAAUAUAAAUAUUAGAUGAAAAACUUUAAACAAAAGUUGAAGCAAAAAAAAAAAAAUGCUAACUGAAAAUAAAUAAAAACUAAAACUGAAAUAAAAAUAAACAAAUAGUAAUACUUAAAAAAGAAUAAAAAUGACAAAAUUUUUAAAUAUAAUAAAAUAUAAAUAUUAGAUGAAAAACUAUUAACAAAAGUUGAAGCAAAAAUGUAAUUACUGAAAAUAAAUAAAAAAUAAAACUGAAAUAAAAAUAAACAUAGCAAUAUUAAAAAAAUAUGGCAAAUGGCAAAAACAUAUAGUUUAAAAAAAUCUGAAAUAAAAUAAACUAUAAAUAUUACAUGAAAAACUAAUUAAAUGAAAAUGAGAAAUAUUGCCUUGGCAGCUAAGUGAAAUGUAAUUUUAAGUUAAAGCACUAAAAUUACUGAAACUACAAAUAAAUAAAACUGAAAUAAAAUAAACCUUAAUAGUAAUAUUUAAAAAAAAAAUUUUUUUUACAAAAGCACAAAAUUUAACAAACACUAAAAUUUUAGAGUGUAAAUGAAAAGUGAAAAUCAAACCAAUUCAAAACAUUAAUAAAAAAAAAUGAAAAUGCGCUUGAGCUGGAGUUGUUUGAGUAGAUGAUGAUGAUGUGGGUUUAGUGGCACAGGAAUGUUGAAGCAGGAUUUGCAGUAGCAUGAUCAUAUCAGAAAUACAGCGAUCCAGCGGUGUGUGUGUCAGCGGUCUGCGGUCUGUGUGCGAUCAGACGAGGUCAGCGAUGUGAAGCGCGAGGUUGAUGAAGCAGACAAAAAAAUAAAACACUUAGUAAACGUUGAUUAAUUCAUGAAAAAAAUAAAAAUUAAAUAAACACAAAAAUCAAAUAAAAAUUAAAAUUAUAUAAAAUAAAUAAUAAAAAAAAUAAAAUAAAAACUUAAAAUUAAAAUAAUGAAAAUGAAAACAAGUAAAUAAAAAACUUAAAAUUAAUAAUUAAAUCAAAUUUAAAAUUAGGGUUGGGAAAUAAAAUGAAAUGUCAUUUUAAUUCAUAAAAAUGACAAACUAAAAAAUACUUUAAAAUGAAAAUUAAUCAAAAUAAAACACUUACUAAAAAUAAAUUAAAUCAUAAAAUAUUUAAAAUAAUGAAAAUAGUUUUAAAAUGAAAACAAGUAAAUAAAACUAAAAAUUUAUAAUGAAAUCAUAGAAAUUAUAAAUUAAGUAAAAUAAAUAAUUCAAUCAAAAUA
ensembl:lncRNA